CUUGCCAAAUAUCCCAGAAUUCCUUACAAUUAAUAAGUCUUGCAGUUAGAGUUGCUCUCUUGGUCCUUUCUGAGGUUUACUCAUGAUCCUGCUUAGAAAAAUAUGGGGAAAUCUUUCUAGUAGUGAAACACAAGGUGUAGUAGAUUAUGUAACAGUCACAAUGCCUAUUCUUGCUAUCUGCAGCUUCCUUGAUGGGAUUCAAAGUGUUCUUUCAGGGUCUUUGGUUGGGGAUUGUUUCUGCAUUCAUGGUGCAAGUGAAAUUUUUUGCUGUCAUUACUAUCAGAACUAGCUGGGAGAAAGAAGCAACUAAACCAGCAAGGAGAGUCAAAAGUAGCAGAGUCCCUCCUAGAGAAGGUGUAGAAGGAGCAAAAGAUACUUUAGAGAAUGAGACUUAGUUUGAGUUUAGUAAUGAUGAAAAACUUUUACACUUAUAGCAAUAAACACAAUUUGAAUUUUCUUUUAAAAGCAUUAGUAACCAAUCAUUAGAUAUUAAUGUUAAUAAACAUGUUUAGUCAUCAUGUUCUGCAUCACUAUUAUUCGAUGGUUUUGGCUUAUAAACUACAAAAAAGACUGUCUAAAGUCAAUGCAUUCAGCCCAUGCAUGUUUAUUCUAAUAGUUCAGACUACUUAUAUUAUUGCUUCUCGAUUGAAUCAGGGUCCAGGUCAAAUUUUCUAACUAUUACAUACAUAAACUAAUAUUAGGUUCCUUCAGAGUUAUUAUAUUUAUA